rnacentral:rRNA from 1 species
GUGAACGAGCGACGCCGCGUGCGGGAUGAAGGCCUUCGGGUUGUAAAGCACUGUCGAGGGGGAGGAAGCCGCAAGGUUGACCUAUCCCUGGAGGAAGCACGGGCUAAGUUCGUGCCAGCAGCCGCGGUAAGACGAACCGUGCGAACGUUAUUCGGAAUCACUGGGCUUAAAGGGCGCGUAGGCGGGUCGACAAGUCUGUGGUGAAAUCCUCCAGCUUAACUGGAGAAGUGCCAUGGAUACUGUCGGUCUCGAGGAGGGUAGGGGCAUCUGGAACUGCCGGUGGAGCGGUGAAAUGCGUUGAGAUCGGAAGGAACGCCCGUGGCGAAAGCGGGCUCCUGGACCUCACCUGACGCUGAGACGCGAAAGCCAGGGUAGCGAACGGGAUUAGAUACCCCGGUAGUCCUGGCCGUAAACGAU